AUUCUAAAGUUAUUAAAUUAAGGAAAAUGUUAGGUAAAAACGCAUAGUAAGGAAAAUAGGAAACAAACAUAAUAUUUUCACAUUCAAAACAGAGAAAAGUUUAGAAAUGUUUUUUUUAUUUCAUGUUUUUAUGACUAGUACCACGUUUACACGAAGCCUAAUGCUAUAUUUCACGUCUAUUUUAUAUUUUGUAUCGUUCGUAAUGGUGUAGAUGGUCUUUUUUGUUCCGAAAUCAACCAGUGUUAAGGUUAUAUGUUAGAUUUGUUUAAACGUGGAUUUCCUAAAGUUUUGUUUCACCAUGCAAAUCUUUUAAAGAUGUCCAAGUUUUCAUCCGUCUUCAUGUCCUGUGUAAAUCUGCAUUAUGGUCAGUUCAGAAAAUCCAUAUCGUGAUUCGUGAGAGCACCUCGUUGAAUUGGAGAGUUAGAUUGUCAAAAGCCAGCUUAACCAAUACAUGUGUUGAGGAAUGUGAAUACCCUUGUACAUACACGGAAGUGAUUAAGUAGAGGUGUGAAUCGGGUCAUAAACCAAAUAUACCAAGACUGGAAACUCGGCGGUCAACUGACGUUUGCCUACAAGCUGCGAGGUGUGGUGAAUGUCGUGAACUUAUCGUUGUGUUCGUGUCCGAUUUGUGGUGAAUGUCGUGAAUCUAUAAAUGUGUGCGUGUUAACGUCAUUUACCAACGUGGUGGCUUUCACAUAUAUUCACAGACAACACUGUACACAAAAGGGUUUUGGGGGGAAAGACUUACGAAAGUUUCCAGUCUUGGUAUUUUUUGUUUAUGAAUCGGGUGAUGUUUAUCCAGUUAUGGUGAUCAUGCGAUACGAAUUUUUGGAGUUUCUCCAGCAAAUGUCAAAGUUAUUCUUCUUUCUUUUCCUCAUUUAAAAUGGGGCUUUUGACUUCUCACCGAAAUCUUGUCAUUCUAAAGUUAUUCAAGAAACAGAUCGGUUGAGCUAUUGCUGCCAAAGUUAACUUUCGAAGAAAAAAAAAAAAAGAAAAUCAGUAGACCGACAUAUUGUUUAAAAUAAAAUUUAUUUGUUUAAAAUAAAACGGAAAAUUAAACUGUGUUAAAAGUUCCUCUCGGUAAAUUUAAACAUAAAACCAAGUGUUUAGACAAUAUUAAAUUUUUGUUGCCAUAUUUUUUUUUAGAACCCUUUAAUAAAGUAAAAACUUUACAACAUUUUUUUAUACUUUUGUGUGGUGAACCUUACAACUUACAAAAAAAAAAAGAAUAAAAGUGGUUGACUUUCGGCGGUCCCAGAUUAUAAUACAAGGACUGGGCCGCCGCACCAUAAAAAUAAAAUAAAAUAAAAUUAUUUUUGAUGCUGUUUUUUUAAAUAUUCCUGGCUCACGGAAUUUCGACGUGGAAUUAUUGAAGCCUAAUUAUCUUCUGGCGAACCCAAGACUACGGGCAAUAUUAGAUUGGUUUCGCAACUGUCAGUUCAGCGGGAACAAGCAAAAACCUCAAAGGCACAGGGCCCCAACCGCCCAAAAAUCUGGGGCUCCGCCACCUAUAAAAGAAGCUGAAAAGAAACAGUAUCAGUGAGUGCUAGACAAUAAGAAAUAAGAGUAAAAUUUCAAAAGAUAGAACCACGAUUAUAAUUCCAACAAGACCAAAGAAAACAAAGUGGAAAUUGAAACAAGAACAGAAAAAGAAAGAAACAAAAAAUGAAAUUAGGUGUUAGUGAUUGUCCGUUAUUUAUUGAAAACUAUAUUACUUAUUAAAGCGUCAAAGUUUAGCUAAUUAAUUAUUAUUUAUUUUAUUUUUAAAUCUAUAUUUAUUAAUUUCAUUAAAUUUAUAUCUUUGUAAGUGAUAGAAAAUAAUUCCUCAGAGGUCGGCACGUUGUCUGAAAUUUUUUGUUGUUUUUCCUAGGGGUAAAAACCAACCUCCAAAGAGCUCUCUAGGGGUAGGGAAUCCUGGGACGUUUUUUUUUGUUGUUGUUAAGUUAGUGUUGGUACCGCAAAGGGUAUCCUAGUUUUUUUUUGUUGUUGUUCUGUGACUCAAAGGAAUCAUUUUUUUGUCGCGUUUUGCAUUUUUUUCGUAGUGUUAAUUUUUUUUGUUAAUUUAUUUUUCUUUGUUAAAUUAAACUAUGUUACAAAUUAUUUCUUACCAACUAAAAUUUAUUUUCAUAAAGAAUAAAACUUGAAAGACGCCCAUGUUUUUUUUGGAAAAAAAGAGAAACUUUUUAGUUGUUUUGUUUCUGUUUCACUUGGGUGAAACCAUGAUCCUUUAAAGAAAUUUUCAGGGGUGCAGACGGUAGCUGAGUUUCAACGAUGGUAAGGACCUGAUUUCCCGUGGAACGACAACGUAUUUGGGAGAAUCCCAAAAUGGCCGAGGAUUCUCAUGGUUGGGUGGGUAAAAGGCCACACUGCAAUAACACCGGCAGUGCCCUUGGGGUGGUGAACGUCCGUCCGCGUCAACUUUUGAGUUUAGUUGUUAGUACACCGGCCUGAUUUAUGUUUUUGGCUGCUGGUGAAGUUUACUUCCGGGAACAAGAUCCCCCCCACAUCCGACGAGCUGAAGCUGCGCACAGCAAGCAGGCCAAGUUCUCGGGAGUAGACACUCUUACCCUUUUUCACUGUGUUCCUCUUUCCUUUCCAGAUGUUCCUGCCACGGUAUGGUAGUUUCACUGCCUUAUCGACUCUUCCUUAUCCACGCUCCUCUCCCCUCCACUAACCAGCAACAAGGGGUUGAUUUGUUUCGAACUUUUCCGAAUAAUUCUUUUUUAUUUCGAAACAAAAAGGUCGCCUGGGGAUUAGAUUUCUAUAGGAUUUUUCCGUACUAAAGGUAAGAACAAUGGAAUUAGUAGUUCAAUGUUUAUUUUUUUGUUUAAUUGGAUAAUUUUUCUAAUUGGAUUUACAGCAUAACAUUAACUGGUUUCUCAUGGACUCAUAGAGCACGUGGUUGUAGAUUGCAGGUGGAAGUUCUUAAUACUACACUCGGGGAUGCUCAUCGUGGUGAACAUUCUUACCCGGUAAAACGUAGAAGAAAAAAAUUCUUGCCCGGUGAAAAAUGAUUUUUGCUCAAAUAGAACUCAAAUCCAUGCGGAAUGGUUUUGGGUGCCAAAAAAAAAUUGUUUAGCUUAGGGAUGGCGGUUGUUAGUACAAAAACCGGUUUUCGGUUUUUCCGGUUUUUUUCUCUCGAUUAAACAGGCCGGUUUUGAACCGGGCCAAAAAACCGGUUUUUGGAAAAACCGUGGCUACACGGUGAUUUUUGAAUCGCCUAAGGGGGAAGAUGCUCACGAAGGGAACUGAAUUUUCGGAGGGCAGUACAGUUCCAUUUCUAAAUUUUUCUUCUUUUUGACGUUUGUUCCUAGAAAAUGUAAAAGUGGAACGUGAUUGGGCACAACAGUGUGUAGCCACUGCAUGUGAUUUUUCAAUCGAUUGAAAAAUCGCUGUGUAGCCAGGCACUAUUGUUAUAAGAGUUCUUAACUCACUCUUAGUAGGAGUUUUGAGGAAUUGUUUAAGCUAAAUAUGAAUGAAAAUUUAUGAUUAUAUGUUAUAGUUAGUUGAGAGAGGAAAUGAAAGUUUUGAGGGUUUUCAGUUUUUUGUCUCGUCGGAUCUUUUUUUGUUCGACGUUUUUUUUCACUCGGUUUAUUUUCGGUUGCUCGGUUUUUUUGCAAAAACCGGUUUAAACCGGGAGAACAAAAAAACCAAAAAAAACCGGUUGACCGAAUCAAAAAAACCGAAAUCGGUUCAAACCGGCUGGUUUUUCCCAUCCCUAGUUUAGCUACCAUUUUGAACUUGGUUGAACAAAUUUUCGUCCGUAGGGAGCAAUCCAUGUUAUAAGCCGGGCUUAAUUUAGGCUUGGCAGUUUCAUUCAGAAAAAAAAAUCUCAAUUGACGCAGACAUAACUGUUCAGACAACUUAUUACGGGAUCAAGAAUUCAAGGUUAACUUAUUUCAACUUUAGACAUCAUAAUUCCAGGACAAGAAACUAUCCCAUAUCUACGUUGCAGAAGUGGAGAGAAAAACCGGUGAGUGAUUAUAAGUUUUAUUUUAAUUAAUUAUAAGAACUAGCCUGACAUUUAAAGGUCAUGUAUUUGAUACAUAAAUUAAGGUUCAAAAGAAGCUAACAAAAAAAAUUUAAAAACAAUUAACACAAAUCAUGCUUAAAUACAAUGGUAACAGAAAAUAAUUAAUAAAAAUACAGUG